GCCCGCGUAGCUCAAUCGGCUAGAGCGUCAGACUUUUACGAUACAAUCAGAGAUCUGAAGGCUGCGAGUUCGACCCUCGCCGCGGGCU